UACGGCCCACCAGAUGGUGAGUGGUUGC
rnacentral:sRNA from 1 species